AUUGAACGCUGGCGGCAGGCCUAACACAUGCAAGUCGAGCGGUUGAGGGGAGCUUGCUCCCUGAUUCAGCGGCGGACGGGUGAGUAAUGCCUAGGAAUCUGCCUAUUAGUGGGGGACAACGUUUCGAAAGGAACCCUAAUACCGCAUACGUCCUACGGGAGAAAGCAGGGGACCUUCGGGCCUUGCGCUAAUAGAUGAGCCUAGGUCGGAUUAGCUAGUUGGUGAGGUAAUGGCUCACCAAGGCGACGAUCCGUAACUGGUCUGAGAGGAUGAUCAGUCACACUGGAACUGAGACACGGUCCAGACUCCUACGGGAGGCAGCAGUUGGGAAUAUUGGACAAUGGGCGAAAGCCUGAUCCAGCCAUGCCGCGUGUGUGAAGAAGGUCUUCGGAUUGUAAAGCACUUUAAGUUGGGAGGAAGGGUUGUAGAUUAAUACUCUGCAAUUUUGACGUUACCGACAGAAUAAGCACCGGCUAACUCUGUGCCAGCCGCCGCAGUAAUAC
rnacentral:rRNA from 1 species